ensembl:lncRNA AABR07062350.1
GCGCGAUCGGCCAAUGAGAGCGCGCGAUGCCUAUUCUCCAUGCAAAUCUCCUGGUUUUUUAUUUGAAUGAGGGAUUUUGGCCACGCCUCCUGCCUUGAAAAAUGAGGCCCGUCUGCCGUGGUGGCGCUGCGGUCUUUUCAAUCGCGUCCGGAGGUGAAUUUUUUUCCGGUUGCCUCUUUUUUAAUCCUCGAGGUGUUUUUUUGUUUUGUUUUGUUUUUGCAUGGAGAUUCCUCAGUAGCCACCCCUCCAUGAAACUUGAGAAAAGAAGUAGACAGAUCAGAGAACAAAUGUAAAAUCUCAUCAUCACGACUCAGGACCCACUUCCUGAACCACUGAAAGGUCUGCUGAGAUGGUUCAGUGGACAUAGGUGCCUGCAACAAGCUUCGCUCCUUAAGUUCAAUUAUCAGGAUCCAGAUGGUGGAAAGAGAGAACUUCUGGACUCUACGUGUGGACCACUGCAUAUGCAUGC